AUACUUACUGGCGCGGGGGAUACCGUGAUCAAGAAGCGGUGCCUCCAGGACGAGGCCUGUACGUUGCACUCUGCGACUAUCGGGGUGGUCGAGCGCAUAAUUUUUUGGUAGUAGUGGACAAGCGUUCGCGCUGUCCCUUU
rnacentral:snRNA from 1 species